rnacentral:tRNA from 1 species
UCCCUGGUGGCUCAGAUGGUAAAGCAUCUGCUUGCAAUGCAGGAGACCUGGGUUCGAUCCCUGAGUUGGGAA